rnacentral:rRNA from 1 species
CGCCCCCUGGACAAGACUGACGCUCAGGUGCGAAAGCGUGGGGAGCAAACAGGAUUAGAUACCUGGUAGUCACGCUGUAAACGAUGUCGAUUUGGAGGUUGUUCCCUUGAGGAGUGGCCUCCGGAGCUAACGCGUUAAAUCGACCGCCUGGGGAGUACGGCCGCAAGGUUAAAACUCAAAUGAAUUGACGGGGGCCCGCACAAGCGGUGGAGCAUGUGGUUUAAUUCGAUGCAACGCGAAGAACCUUACCUACUCUUGACAUCCAGAGAAUUUAGCAGAGAUGCUUUAGUGCCUUCGGGAACUCUGAGACAGGUGCUGCAUGGCUGUCGUCAGCUCGUGUUGUGAAAUGUUGGGUUAAGUCCCGCAACGAGCGCAACCCUUAUCCUUUGUUGCCAGCACAUUAUGGUGGGAACUCAAAGGAGACUGCCGGUGAUAAACCGGAGGAAGGUGGGGAUGACGUCAAGUCAUCAUGGCCCUUACGAGUAGGGCUACACACGUGCUACAAUGGCGUAUACAAAGAGAAGCGACCUCGCGAGAGCAAGCGGAACUCAUAAAGUACGUCGUAGUCCGGAUUGGAGUCUGCAACUCGACUCCAUGAAGUCGGAAUCGCUAGUAAUCGUAGAUCAGAAUGCUACGGUGAAUACGUUCCCGGGCCUUGUACACACCGCCCGUCACACCAUGGGAGUGGGUUGCAAAAGAAGUAGGUAGCUUAACCUUCGGGAGGGCGCUUACCACUUUGUGAUUCAUGACUGGGGUGAAGUCGUAACAAGGUAACCA